rnacentral:miRNA from 1 species
UCACUAUGUAGUUCAGGCUGGUCCUGAACUCACUAUGUAGCCCAGGCUGGCCUUGAACUCAAAGUGAUCCACCUGCCUCAGCCUCCUGAGUGCUGGGAUUACAAGGCGUGCACCACCAUGUCCG